GGCGAACGGGUGAGUAUCACGUGGGCAACUGCCCUCGGCACCGGGAUAGCCCGGGGAAACCCGGAUUAAUACCGGACAGCCUCCGGAGCCUUCGGGCGCCGGAGAAAAGGUGGCUUCGGCUUCCGGCUGAGGAGGGGCCUGCGGCGGAUUAGCUUGUUGGUGAGGUAACGGCUCACCAAGGCGACGAUCCGUAGCUGGUCUGAGAGGACGAUCAGCCACACUGGGACUGAGACACGGCCCAGACUCCUACGGGAGGCAGCAGUGGGGAAUCUUGCGCAAUGGGCGAAAGCCUGACGCAGCGACGCCGCGUGCGGGAAGAAGGCCUUCGGGUUGUAAACCGCUUUCAGGAGGGACGAAGCCACUCGGGUUAAUAGCCCAGAGGGUGACGGUACCUCCAGAAGAAGCCCCGGCUAACUACGUGCCAGCCGCCGCGG
rnacentral:rRNA from 1 species